rnacentral:rRNA from 1 species
UAGUCUACGCCGUAAACGAUGGAUACUAGUUGUUUGGCCUUCGGGCUGAGUGACUAAGCGAAAGUGAUAAGUAUCCCACCUGGGGAGUACGUUCGCAAGAAUGAAACUCAAAGGAAUUGACGGGGGCCCGCACAAGCGGUGGAGCAUGUGGUUUAAUUCGAUGAUACGCGAGGAACCUUACCAGGGCUUAAAUGUAAGUUGCAUUAAUCAGAGAUGGUUAUUUCUUCGGACCACUUACAAGGUGCUGCAUGGUUGUCGUCAGCUCGUGCCGUGAGGUGUCAGGUUAAGUCCUAUAACGAGCGCAACCCCUGUGGUUAGUUGCCAGCGAGUCAUGUCGGGAACUCUAGCCAGACUGCCGGUGCAAACCGCGAGGAAGGUGGGGAUGACGUCAAAUCAUCACGGCCCUUACGUCCUGGGCUACACACGUGCUACAAUGGUAGGUACAGAGAGCAGCCACUUGGUGACAAGGAGCGAAUCUAUAAAGCCUAUCUCAGUUCGGAUC